UUUACAAUGGAGAGUUUGAUCCUGGCUCAGGAUGAACGCUAGCGGCAGGCUUAAUACAUGCAAGUCGAGGGGCAGCGGGGGUGUAGCAAUACACUCGCCGGCGACCGGCAAACGGGUGCGGAACACGUACGCAACCUACCCAGAACUGGGGGAUAGCCCGGGGAAACCCGGAUUAAUACCUCAUAAGAUAGUGGAGUGGCAUCACUCAGCUAUUAAAGCUCCGGCGGUUUUGGAUGGGCG
rnacentral:rRNA from 1 species